GAUGAACGCUAGCGGCAGGCCUAAUACAUGCAAGUCGAACGGUGUCUUCGGACAUAGUGGCGCACGGGUGCGUAACACGUAUGCAACCUACCUUACAUUGGGGGAUAGCCUUUCAAAAGGGAGAUUAAUACCGCAUAAGACAGUAGCUGGGCAUCCAGCAGCUGUUAAAGAUUUAUCGAUGUAAGCUGGGCAUGCGUCCAAUUAGCUAGUUGGUGAGGUAACGGCUCACCAAGGCAAUGAUUGGUAGGGGAACUGAGAGGUCAAUCCCCCACACUGGCACUGGGAUACGGGCCAGACUCCUACGGGAGGCAGCAGUAGGGAAUAUUGGGCAAUGGACGCAAGUCUGACCCAGCCAUGCCGCGUGCAGGAUGAAGGCGUUAUGCGUUGUAAACUGCUUUUAUACAGGAAGAAACGACUCUUGCGAGAGGCAUUGACGGUACUGUAUGAAUAAGCACCGGCUAACUCCGUGCCAGCAGCCGCGGUAACAC
rnacentral:rRNA from 1 species